rnacentral:rRNA from 1 species
GAUGAACGCUGGCGGCGUGCCUAAUACAUGCAAGUCGAGCGAACAGACGAGGAGCUUGCUCCUCUGACGUUAGCGGCGGACGGGUGAGUAACACGUGGAUAACCUACCUAUAAGACUGGGAUAACUUCGGGAAACCGGAGCUAAUACCGGAUAAUAUAUUGAACCGCAUGGUUCAAUAGUGAAAGACGGUUUUGCUGUCACUUAUAGAUGGAUCCGCGCCGCAUUAGCUAGUUGGUAAGGUAGCGGCUUACCAAGGCAACGAUGCGUAGCCGACCUGAGAGGGUGAUCGGCCACACUGGAACUGAGACACGGUCCAGACUCCUACGGGAGGCAGCAGUAGGGAAUCUUCCGCAAUGGGCGAAAGCCUGACGGAGCAACGCCGCGUGAGUGAUGAAGGUCUUCGGAUCGUAAAACUCUGUUAUUAGGGAAGAACAAAUGUGUAAGUAACUAUGCACGUCUUGACGGUACCUAAUCAGAAAGCCACGGCUAACUACG